rnacentral:lncRNA from 1 species
UUGACUUUAUCAGACUCAACUAAUAAAAUCACUCAGUGAUGGUUAAAUGAUAGUCAUAAUACUAAUCUCUUGCAUCUAGGUGGCAUUCUGAAUUUCUCAAAUCACUCUCUGAUACCUUAUCUCAAGAGAUCUUCAUAGCAACCCACUGAGGUUAUGACAACUCCAUCAGGAAAGAAAACAAUCCUAUCAUGCUGAUCAAGGCGAGGGCCAUCAUCAGGUCACACAUCUAAAGACGGAAAACAAGGCCUGCUGGACUUGGCUCCCACCAGCUUGGAAAGCCAGUUGUUAAAUUUUCAAUAUGAGGCAUCUGAGGCCACAGCAGAAGAAGUGAUGCCUGCAAUGGAAAGGCUGCUUUCUCAAUCAAAGGCCAUUGAGUCCAACCAUCUCGUUUUACAGGUG